UACGUAGGGUGCGAGCGUUGUCCGGAAUUAUUGGGCGUAAAGGGCUCGUAGGCGGUUUGUCGCGUCGGGAGUGAAAACACGGGGCUUAACCCCGUGCCUGCUUCCGAUACGGGCAGACUAGAGGUAUGCAGGGGAGAACGGAAUUCCUGGUGUAGCGGUGAAAUGCGCAGAUAUCAGGAGGAACACCGGUGGCGAAGGCGGUUCUCUGGGCAUUACCUGACGCUGAGGAGCGAAAGUGUGGGGAGCGAACAGG
rnacentral:rRNA from 1 species